CCUAGGGGUCGCAGCAGUGGGGAAUAUUGGACAAUGGGCGAAAGCCUGAUCCAGCCAUGCCGCGUGUGUGAAGAAGGCCUUCGGGUUGUAAAGCACUUUCAGUGGGGAAGAAAGCCUUGGGGCUAAUACCCUCGAGGAAGGACAUCACCCACAGAAGAAGCACCGGCUAACUCCGUGCCAGCAGCCGCGGUAAUACGGAGGGUGCGAGCGUUAAUCGGAAUUACUGGGCGUAAAGCGCGCGUAGGCGGUCUGAUAAGCCGGUUGUGAAAGCCCCGGGCUCAACCUGGGAACGGCAUCCGGAACUGUCAGGCUAGAGUGCAGGAGAGGAAGGUAGAAUUCCCGGUGUAGCGGUGAAAUGCGUAGAGAUCGGGAGGAAUACCAGUGGCGAAGGCGGCCUUCUGGACUGACACUGACGCUGAGGUGCGAAAGCGUGGGUAGCAAACAGGAUUAGAUACCCUAGUAGU
rnacentral:rRNA from 1 species